GAUGAACGCUGGCGGCGUGCCUAACACAUGCAAGUCGAGCGAUUCUCUUCGGAGAAGAGCGGCGGACGGGUGAGUAACGCGUGGGUAACCUGCCCUGUACACACGGAUAACAUACCGAAAGGUAUGCUAAUACGGGAUAACAUAAGAAAUUCGCAUGUUUUUCUUAUCAAAGCUCCGGCGGUACAGGAUGGACCCGCGUCUGAUUAGCUAGUUGGUGAGGUAACGGCUCACCAAGGCGACGAUCAGUAGCCGACCUGAGAGGGUGAUCGGCGACAUUGGAACUGAGACACGGUCCAAACUCCUACGGGAGGCAGCAGUGGGGAAUAUUGCACAAUGGGCGAAAGCCUGAUGCAGCAACGCCGCGUGAGCGAUGAAGGCCUUCGGGUCGUAAAGCUCUGUCCUCAAGGAAGAUAAUGACGGUACUUGAGGAGGAAGCCCCGGCUAACUACGUGCUAGCAGCCGCGGUAA
rnacentral:rRNA from 1 species